ACGGCUGUUCCUGGCGUCACUUAUCUUUAUCCUCUUCGCGUUUUUCCCUUUUCUUCUCCCCACCUCAGCAAAGUCUUUGAAUAGUAAUUUCUCAUGCUUACUGAGCUACCCAUGGCUCGUCUAUGAGAAAGCGCACUCUCCUGUCAUUUCUUGAACUACUUUUAUUUAUUCUUAUUUCUUAAGCUAAUUUAUUCUGAAAAGACAGAAUUGACUUAUUGUACAGCAACGGCUCGUUAAGGAAAGCUGUUAAGAAAGUUAUGGCUUUUCCACUAGGCUACUUGAAAUGCGCUACUGUAUAUAGAUUUACCUGGGAACUGGGGAUUCCAGCAAUAGGCGCCACACUUAUGCAGCAACAUUUUGUCCACGAGGCCAUCUCCCUGAGUUUAUCCACUCAGCAAUCUCUCCACUCAACAUCUUAAUGAAUUUAAUGAGCACAGCAAUCGGCAGCGGCGACUUUUGAGAAGGGUAAUUUCCUUGACUGUGAGGACACAAAAGUUAAAUAUGCAUCAGACCUAAGCGACCAAUUGUACUACUGUUGGCUAAGUAACCCAAGCUGAACCUGGGAUUCCUCAUUCCAGAAUGGGAUUUUCAAGCAUACUGAUAAAGAUCUUUCUUCACAG
rnacentral:lncRNA from 1 species